rnacentral:tRNA from 1 species
GGGCUCUUAGCUCAGCCUGGCUAGAGCACUUGGCUCUUAACCAAGGGGUCGGGGGUUCGAAACAACGAAUACUCGUUGAAGGCUAACGUUUGUGGGAUAUACGCUUUGCUUAAUCCCACUUAGUGGCUAAGAAUGGUGUUCGCUGGCGAAAGUCCCUCAGGGCUCA